rnacentral:lncRNA from 1 species
GCUGUAACCAAUUAAGCUGUUUCUGUGUGUCACUUCCCUUGUGGAAUGGAGCUCACUGAACCUCUCUGAUGGCUGCCCGAUCGUUCUGAUGGGCCAGUUUGAAGCUUUAUAUAUCAUUUACCAAACUUAGGGUGGUGAGUGGGUGCUGAUGGCAGCCUGGUUUGAAAAUCUCCACUGGAGAGAAGACACAGCAGGAUUCAGAUGCAAAUGACCAGAGCACUCCAAGUUGGAAAGAACUGCUGAGCGGGUCUGUAGAGCCCAUCGCUCUCUCCUGUCUAUUCAUCAGCUAGGCUGAAGCUCCUGACAGACUCACACCAGUAUCUUGCUGCUCCAGAAAGGUCGAAGAUGGCAGUUUUCCCAAACUCCGGCUUGCCCAGAUGUCUGCUCACCCUCAUUCUUCUCCAGCUGCCCAAGCUGGUUUCAGAUAGGUCUCUCUCUCUGGCCUGCAGAGUUAAAAC